GAGCAGGCCUAACACAUGCAAGUCGAACGGAAACAUGUCUAGCUUGCUAGAUGAUGUCGAGUGGCGGACGGGUGAGUAAUACUUAGGAACAUGCCUUUGGGUGGGGGAUAACUAUUGGAAACGAUAGCUAAUACCGCAUAACGUCUACGGACCAAAGGGGGCUUCGGCUCCCGCCCAGAGAGUGGCCUAAGCGAGAUUAGCUUGUUGGUGAGGUAAAGGCUCACCAAGGCGACGAUCUCUAGCUGUUCUGAGAGGAAGAUCAGCCACACUGGAACUGAGACACGGUCCAGACUCCUACGGGAGGCAGCAGUGGGGAAUAUUGCACAAUGGGGGAAACCCUGAUGCAGCCAUGCCGCGUGUGUGAAGAAGGCCUUCGGGUUGUAAAGCACUUUCAGUUGUGAGGAAAGUUUGAUGGUUAAUACCCAUUAGAUGU
rnacentral:rRNA from 1 species